CCAACCUUCCCUAUAGUAGAGAAUAGCCCGGCGAAAGUCGGAUUAAUGCUCUAUGUUGUAUUUAGAAGACAUCUGAAGAAUACCAAAGGUUUACCGCUAUAGGAUGGGGAUGCGUCUGAUUAGGUAGUAGGCGGGGUAACGGCCCACCUAGCCGACGAUCAGUAGGGGUUCUGAGAGGAAGGUCCCCCACAUUGGAACUGAGACACGGUCCAAACUCCUACGGGAGGCAGCAGUGAGGAAUAUUGGUCAAUGGACGGAAGUCUGAACCAGCCAAGUAGCGUGCAGGAUGACGGCCCUAUGGGUUGUAAACUGCUUUUAUAUAGGGAUAAAGUCGGGGACGUGUCCCCGUUUGUAGGUACUAUAUGAAUAAGGACCGGCUAAUUCCGUGCCAGCAGCCGCGGUAAUACGGAAGGUCCAGGCGUUAUCCGGAUUUAUUGGGUUUAAAGGGAGCGCAGGCUGAUGAUUAAGCGUGACGUGAAAUGUAGCCGCUCAACGGCUGAACUGCGUCGCGAACUGGUUAUCUUGAGUGAGUUCGAUGUUGCGGGAUUCGUGGUGUAGCGGGUGAAAUGCUUAGAUAUCACGAAGAACUCCGAUUGCGAAGGCAGCCAACAAGGCCUUUACUGACGCUAAAGCUCGAAGGUGCGGGUAUCGAACAGGAUUAGAUACCCUGGUAGUCCGCACGGUAAAACGAUGGAUGCCCGCUGUUUGCGAUAUACUGUGAGCGGCCAAGAGAAAUCGUUAAGCAUCCCACCUGGGGAGUACGCCGGCAACGGUGAAACUCAAAGGAAUUGACGGGGGCCCGCACAAGCGGAGGAACAUGUGGUUUAAUUCGAUGAUACGCGAGGAACCUUACCCCGGGCUUGAACUGCCAGCGAACGAUUCAGAGAUGAUGAGGUCUUCGGGACGCUGGUGGAGGUGCUGCAUGGUUGUCGUCAGCUCGUGCCGUGAGGUGUCGGCUUAAGUGCCAUAACGAGCGCAACCCUUUUCUUUAGUUGCCAUCAGGUAAUGCUGGGCACUCUGGAGAUACUGCCACCGUAAGGUGUGAGGAAGGUGGGGAUGACGUCAAAUCAGCACGGCCCUUACGUCCGGGGCUACACACGUGUUACAAUGGGGGGUACAGAGAGUCGGU
rnacentral:rRNA from 1 species